UACGUAGGGUGCGAGCGUUAAUCGGAAUUACUGGGCGUAAAGCGUGCGCAGGCGGUUCGUUGUGUCGGUGGUGAAAUCCCCGGGCUUAACCUGGGAAUGGCCAUGGAAACUGGCGAACUGGAGUGCGGCAGAGGGGGGUGGAAUUCCGCGUGUAGCAGUGAAAUGCGUAGAGAUCUGGAGGAACACCGGUGGCGAAGGCGGCCCCCUGGUUCGAUACUGACGCUGAGGUGCGAAAGCGUGGGGAGCAAACAGG
rnacentral:rRNA from 1 species